rnacentral:rRNA from 1 species
CGGACGGGUGGGUAAUGUCUGGGAAACUGCCCGAUGAGGGGGAGUAACUACUGGAAACGGUAGCUAAUACCGCAUAACGUCGCAAGACCAAAGAGGGGGACCUUCGGGCCUCUUGCCAUCGGAUGUGCCCAGAUGGGAUUAGCUAGUAGGUGGGGUAACGGCUCACCUAGGCGACGAUCCCUAGCUGGUCUGAGAGGAUGACCAGCCACACUGGAACUGAGACACGGUCCAG